GACAGAGGGUGCAAACGUUGUUCGGAUUUACUGGGCGUAAAGCGUGCGCAGGCGGUUCGUUGUGUCGGCGGUGAAAGCCCCGGGCUCAACCUGGGAAUGGCCGUUGAAACUGGCGAACUGGAGUGUGGCAGAGGGGGGUGGAAUUCCGCGUGUAGCAGUGAAAUGCGUAGAGAUGCGGAGGAACACCGAUGGCGAAGGCAGCCCCCUGGGCUGACACUGACGCUCAGGCACGAAAGCGUGGGGAGCAAACAGG
rnacentral:rRNA from 1 species